UUUCCGUAGGUGAACCUGCGGAAGGAUCAUUAAUGAGUUGUCAUGGGGUUCGAUGCUGGCAGCCAAUUUUUGGAUGAAUGUGCUUGCCCUAACAAUCAUCUUCCAAACACCUGUGCACAUUUUUGAGGGAGUCUUGAGUUGGUUGCCGCUCUUGGGUGAUUUUCUCACAUUCCCUUAAAUCAUUAUACGCUAUUAACAAUGUUGAACGUGCUCUGUGCCGCAAGGCUAUUAAUAUAAUACAACUUUUAACAACGGAUCUCUUGGCUCUC
rnacentral:misc_RNA from 1 species